rnacentral:rRNA from 1 species
GAUGAACGCUGGCGGCGUGCCUAAUACAUGCAAGUCGAGCGAACGGACGAGAAGCUUGCUUCUCUGAUGUUAGCGGCGGACGGGUGAGUAACACGUGGAUAACCUACCUAUAAGACUGGGAUAACUUCGGGAAACCGGAGCUAAUACCGGAUAAUAUUUUGAACCGCAUGGUUCAAAAGUGUAAGACGGUCUUGCUGUCACUUAUAGAUGGAUCCGCGCUGCAUUAGCUAGUUGGUAAGGUAACGGCUUACCAAGGCAACGAUGCAUAGCCGACCUGAGAGGGUGAUCGGCCACACUGGAACUGAGACACGGUCCAGACUCCUACGGGAGGCAGCAGUAGGGAAUCUUCCGCAAUGGGCGAAAGCCUGACGGAGCAACGCCGCGUGAGUGAUGAAGGUCUUCGGAUCGUAAAACUCUGUUAUUAGGGAAGAACAUAUGUGUAAGUAACUGUGCACAUCUUGACGGUACCUAAUCAGAAAGCCACGGCUAACUACGU